AUUGAACGCUGGCGGCAGGCCUAACACAUGCAAGUCGAACGAGCGGCGGACGGGGGAGUAAAAUGUGGGGGACUGCCCGAUAGGGGGGGGUAACUACUGGAAACGGUAGCUCAUACACCGUACUAUCGGAGGAACCCCCAUGGGAUUAGCUCGUAGGUGAGGUAAAGGCUCACCUAGGCGACGAUCCCUAGCUGGUCUGAGAGGAUGAUCAGCCACACUGGGACUGAGACACGGUCCAGACUCCUACGGGAGGCAGCAGUGGGGAAUAUUGCACAAUGGGCGCAAGCCUGAUGCAGCCAUGCCGCGUGUAUGAAGAAGGCCCUAGGGUUGUAAAGUACGUUCAGUCGGGAGGCGUUACCGACAGAAGAAGCACCGGCUAACUCCGUGCCAGCAGCCGCGGUAAUAC
rnacentral:rRNA from 1 species